rnacentral:lncRNA from 1 species
UUCGAUCUUCUGGCUAGAUCUUUUUCGAUCUUCUGGAUAGAUCUCCUUUGUUUCGAUUCUCUGGCUGAAUCUAUUUUCUUUGAUUCUCUGGCUAAAUCUACUUCGAUCUUCUGGCUAGAUCUGAAUUGUUUCGAUUCUCUGGCUGAAUUUAUUUCGGGUCUUCGGGCUAGACCUGACUUCGAUCUUCUGGCUAGAUCUCCUUUGUUUCGAU